rnacentral:rRNA from 1 species
GCCAGACUCCUACGGGAGGCAGCAGUGGGGAAUAUUGCACAAUGGGGGAAACCCUGAUGCAGCGACGCCGCGUGAGUGAAGAAGUAUUUCGGUAUGUAAAGCUCUAUCAGCAGGGAAGAAAAUGACGGUACCUGACUAAGAAGCCCCGGCUAACUACGUGCCAGCAGCCGCGGUAAUACGUAGGGGGCAAGCGUUAUCCGGAUUUACUGGGUGUAAAGGGAGCGUAGACGGUAGAGCAAGUCUGAAGUGAAAGGCCGGGGCCCAACCCCGGGACUGCAUUGGAAACUGCGAGGCUGGAGUGUCGGAGAGGCAGGCGGAAUUCCUAGUGUAGCGGUGAAAUGCGUAGAUAUUAGGAGGAACACCAGUGGCGAAGGCGGCCUGCUGGACGAUGACUGAUGCUGAGGCUCGAAAGCGUGGGGAGCAAACAGGAUUAGAUACCCGUGUA